UACGGAGGGUGCAAGCGUUGCUCGGAAUUAUUGGGCGUAAAGGGUAGGUAGGUGGUCUCAUUUGUCUGAGGUGAAAUCCUUGAGCUUAACUCAAGAAGUGCCUCAGAAACGGUGAGACUAGAGUCCUGGAGAGGGUCGUGGAAUUCCCGGUGUAGCGGUGAAAUGCGUAGAGAUCGGGAGGAACACCAGAGGCGAAGGCGGAGACCUGGACAGGCACUGACACUCAACUACGAAAGCGUGGGGAGCAAACAGG
rnacentral:rRNA from 1 species